rnacentral:rRNA from 1 species
GACGAACGCUGGCGGCGUGCUUAACACAUGCAAGUCGAACGAAGUGGCGAACGGGUGAGUAACGCGUAAUCAACCUGCCCUUCAGGGGGGGACAACAGUUGGAAACAACUGCUAAUACCGCAUACUGAAGGAGGGGAUUGCGGCGGUUUAGGUAGUUGGAGGGGUAACGGCCCACCAGGGCGAUGAUCAGUAGCCGGGCUGAGAGGAUGAAUGGCCAAAUUGGGGAGGAGACACGGCCCCGACCCCUACGGGAGGCAGCAGUGGGGAAUCUUCCCCAAUGGAGGAAAGUCUGACGGAGCAACGCCGCGUGAGUGAUGACGGCCUUCGGGUUGUAAAGCUCUGUUAAUCGGGACGCGGUACCGGAAUAGAAAGCCACGGCUAACUACGUGCCAGCCGCCGCGGUAAUAC